GUGUGCUCAGGUCCGUGCAGGUUGUUGGGGCUGUGCGGCUGCCCUGAGCUCUGGGUGCUGGGUGCUCCCUGCGUGUGUGUGCUGGGUGCCCUCUGCGUGUGUGUGCUGGGUGCCCUCUGCGUGUGUGCUGGGUGCCCUGUGUGCUCAGGGCAGUGCAGGUUGUUGGGGCUGUGCGGCUGCCCUGCGUGUGUGUGCUGGGUGCUCUCUGUGUGCUCAGGGCUCUGUGUGCUCAGGGCUCUGUGUGCUCAGGUCCGUGCAGGUUGUUGGGGCAGUGCGGGUGCUUAGUGCUCUGGCUGCGGGCUGUUCGGGUGUUUGGGGCUCUGGCUGUGCUCCCUGUGCCCCGCUUGCAGUGGGGA
rnacentral:lncRNA from 1 species